rnacentral:rRNA from 1 species
UACGUAGGGACCAAGCGUUGUUCGGAUUUACUGGGCGUAAAGGGCGCGUAGGCGGCGUGGUAAGUCAGCUGUGAAAUCUCCGAGCUUAACUCGGAACGGUCAGCUGAUACUGCUGUGCUAGAGUACAGAAAGGGCAAUCGGAAUUCUUGGUGUAGCGGUGAAAUGCGCAGAUAUCAGGAAGAACACCCGUGGCGAAAGCGGCUCUCUGGAACGGUACUGACGCUGAGACGCGAAAGCGUGGGGAGCGAACAGG